rnacentral:rRNA from 1 species
UGGGGAAUCUUGCACAAUGGGCGAAAGCCUGAUGCAGCGACGCCGCGUGGAGGAUGACGGCCUUCGGGUUGUAAACUCCUUUUGCAGGGGAAGAUAAUGACGGUACCCUGCGAAUAAGCCACGGCUAACUCUGUGCCAGCAGCCGCGGUAAGACAGAGGUGGCGAGCGUUGUUCGGAAUUACUGGGCUUAAAGGGCGCGUAGGCGGUGAUGUAAGUCUGGGGUGGAAUCCUGCAGCUUAACUGUGGGACUGCCCUGGAAACUGCAUUGCUUGAGUCGGACAGGGGAAGGCGGAAUUCCAGGUGUAGCGGUGAAAUGCGUAGAUAUCUGGAGGAAGGCCUGUGGUGAAGACGGCCUUCUGGGUCUUGACUGACGCUGAGGCGCGAAAGCGUGGGUAGCAAACAGG